GACGAACGCUGGCGGCGUGCUUAACACAUGCAAGUCGAACGGAAAGGCCCUGCUUUUGUGGGGUGCUCGAGUGGCGAACGGGUGAGUAACACGUGAGUAACCUGCCCUUGACUUUGGGAUAACUUCAGGAAACUGGGGCUAAUACCGGAUAGGAGCUCCUGCUGCAUGGUGGGGGUUGGAAAGUUUCGGCGGUUGGGGAUGGACUCGCGGCUUAUCAGCUUGUUGGUGGGGUAGUGGCUUACCAAGGCUUUGACGGGUAGCCGGCCUGAGAGGGUGACCGGCGACAGUGGAAGUGGGACGCGGUCCAGAGGACUACGAGAGGCAGCAGUAGGGAAUGGUCGGCAAUGGGGGGAAGCCUGACGGAGAAACGGCGAGUGAGUGACGAAGGUCGCGGGAGCGGAAAGCUGGGUUAUUGGGGAAGAAAAAAUGUGGCAGGAGAUAUGGAGGUAUUGACGGUACCGAAUCAGAAAGCACCGGCUAACUACGUG
rnacentral:rRNA from 1 species